rnacentral:rRNA from 1 species
UGGGAAUAUUGCACAAUGGGCGAAAGCCUGAUGCAGCAACGCCGCGUGAGUGAUGAAGGCCUUCGGGUUGUAAAGCUCUGUCUUUUGGGACGAUAAUGACGGUACCAAAGGAGGAAGCCACGGCUAACUACGUGCCAGCAGCCGCGGUAAUACGUAGGUGGCAAGCGUUGUCCGGAUUUACUGGGCGUAAAGGAUGCGUAGGCGGAUUUUUAAGUGAGAUGUGAGAUACCCGGGCUUAACUUGGGUGCUGCAUUUCAAACUGGGAAUCUAGAGUGCGGGAGAGGAGAAUGGAAUUCCUAGUGUAGCGGUGAAAUGCGUAGAGAUUAGGAAGAACACCAGUGGCGAAGGCGAUUCUCUGGACCGUAACUGACGCUGAGGCGUGAAAGCGUGGGUAGCAAACAGGAUUAGAUACCCUGGUAGUCCACGCCGUAAACGAUGAGUACUAGGUGUAGGAGGUAUCGACCCCUUCUGUGCCGCAGUUAACACAAUAAGUACUCCGCCUGGGAAGUACGAUCGCAAGAUUAAAAACUCAAAGGAAUUGAC